ACUUCUAGUCCUCACACUGGCAAAGUGAGCCAUCUUUCCAGCCCGAUGCAACAUUGUUUUACAUCAAACUUACAAGAACUACUUUGCUGGGUAUAUAGCUCAGUGGAAGAAUGCUAGCCUGGCAUAUGUGAGGCCAUAGGUUCAAUCCCCAAUGGUGCAGAAACAAAACCAACAACAACAAGCUGACAAACCAACACCACCAGCAGCAGCAGCAACCACCACAAACUAGGCAAAGAUUCCAUUUCAAAAAGAAAGAUCUAAAGAAACAGUGGACCUGCAGGUUUAAUGGAUUAGUGUGUAUUUCAGGUGCCACCCUGGGGUCUUUGUUGGCCUGCAGUGAUGCUACAUUGUACCCAAUGACAAACCAACGACAAACUCAGAAGAAGCAAAAGCUUUCCAGCAAUGAGCAGGCAGAAACUUCUGGGAAGCAAGAUGUGUGAAGAUGUAUGACUUGACAAACAACACAGACUUAAUUGCUUACAGCUUCCCGGAGACACAAUCUCUUCAGUUCCUCCAGCCUCUGGCGCAGCGUCUCCUCCAGAGCUUCCUGCCUGGAUUUCAAGGCAGCCAACAUGUCUUUCUUGGCUGACUGCGAGCUAUCUGAUUCCUGAGAACCUGUUGAUAAACAGCAGGGUUACUAGGCGGCUGACAAGGGACACACAUCUGGACCACUAAUGAAAUCCACCAGAGCUCACAACUCGGGUAUGGGAUUUACCCCGGGAAUCAAGGAGCGUGAAAUGAGACAGGUGUGCUUGUUGCAAGCAUGAGGAGUGAAUUCAAAUACCAUGUGGAAUGGAUAGCUUCACGAAGGACGGGCAGGGGAGUGGACUCUCCUGAGCAAGAACACUGUCAUUUCUGAUUGUCUUAAGACAUGUCACACCAGCCAAUUUUUAUAUGCUUUACAAAGGGAGGGGGAGAGUAAAGUUUAAGUUAAUAUUAGUAAUUUC
rnacentral:lncRNA from 1 species